UCCAGACUCCUACGGGAGGCAGCAGUGGGGAAUAUUGCACAAUGGGGGGAACCCUGAUGCAGCGACGCCGCGUGGGUGAAGGAGCGUUUCGGCGCGUAAAGCCCUAUCGGCAGGGAAGAAGGAGGACGGUACCUGACUAAGAAGCCCCGGCUAACUACGUGCCAGCAGCCGCGGUAAUACGUAGGGGGCAAGCGUUAUCCGGAUUUACUGGGUGUAAAGGGGGUGCAGACGGCAGCGCAAGCCAGGAGUGAAAGCCCGGGGCCCAACCCCGGGACUGCUCUUGGAACUGCGCGGCUGGAGUGCAGGAGGGGCAGGCGGAAUUCCUGGUGUAGCGGUGAAAUGCGUAGAUAUCAGGAGGAACACCGGUGGCGAAGGCGGCCUGCUGGACUGCGACUGACGUUGAGGCCCGAAAGCGUGGGGAGCAAACAGGAUUAGAUACCCCCGUACCC
rnacentral:rRNA from 1 species